AGCACAAGACAUCCUGACCUUCAAGGGAGGGAGGAACACCUUGAGAGGAGUUGAGAUCCUGCUUUCUCUUCAGAAUGCCAUCUCUAGGAUGCCAAUGGGCUGUGUCUACAGUACUAUGUAGGAAAGUGCUGCAAGAGAGAGCCCAUUUUGCCUAAACAAGAACCACGAUUAUGUAAAGUUCUUUCUGUCACCUCUCUGAAGACCUGGUUCAUAUCUGCAGCUGCAACUCUAUCCCUGAACUCAUCUUUGAAACUACCCAGAGAUAGACUGUCAAGAGCUUCAGAGCUUUACAACAGGAUCUUCCAAGUGCCCUGAGAGGUCAUGAUGGAGCCAAUAGAAAUAAAUCAUACAAAACAAAGCCAGAACCUGGUGGGAGGGAUGCUUACAAAACAACAUAAACGAGAAGUUGUCUGAAAAAAAAUUGUAUGGAAGGAAGAAGAGAUGAGAUAAGGGAAAUGAACUCAUAAUAGCCCCAGUUAAAAUACUUACAGUAAAAUAUCAUUAGUACUACUUGAUGUUGGUGAAAGGCUCUAGACUCAAGUCAGAAGGCCCAAUUUGUUGCUGUGAUUUCUUGAACAAAUUAUGUAAUUGUGUUGAGAUUCAGUUUUCUUUUCUAUCAUUGGGUAUUAAUAACUUCUAUGUGAUGUCAGAGUUAUGAUGUGAAGUUAAAAUAACUAAUAAAUGGGUAAACCCUGAAAAUUUGAUAGAAUUUUGUGAAUGAGAGAAUCUUACAAAUACAGUACCUGAAACCAAAAGAAUUAAGUCUCAGCUUGAGGAAUAUCAGAUACUAGGGCAGGCUAAUGGGAUAAAGGUCUCAUUGAUCUGCCACCUUCAGUCACACUGAAAUGGGGCUAUAUUUUUUUUAUUUACUUACCUACCAGUACUGCCAAUAGUCAAAAUAGUACUACUUUCCAAGUUAUUUAACUUUUUUAGUAUAACAGAAAAAAAAAUCAUUUCUAGUUUUCAAGGCAUGGAUUCAAUGAGUAAUAUAGAUUUAUAUCACUUGGUGAAGACAUGGCAAUUUCCCUGAUACCACUGAAAAAUAAAUUUAAAAAUGC
ensembl:lncRNA LINC02552 long intergenic non-protein coding RNA 2552